rnacentral:tRNA from 1 species
UGUGGCUCAGUGGUGGAGCACUCGCCUAGUAUGUGUGAAACACUAAGUUUGAUUCUUAGCA